rnacentral:tRNA from 1 species
GGUGCUGUCGUCUAGUGGUUAAGACGCCCGCCGAUUACACCAGCUUGUUAAAGCGGGUAACUGGGGUUCGAAUCCCCACGGCACCA